rnacentral:lncRNA from 1 species
CAGGAACACAGAGCAAGGGGUAGGGUGGAUGUUUGCAUGUUUUGAUACCUUACAAAGCAAAAAGGGGUGGGCAAACUUACCAACUCCUUUCCCAAAGGACAGCCAAUAGCCUCUGCGUACUUCAAAACCGAUGUUGCUUUUGUCAGUUUAUAUCAAUGAAAGAAAAAAUCUGUAAAAUCACAUUUAAUUAGAUAAGUUCGGAUUUAUUUGGAUUGUAUAGCCUGGCUGAUAUUAAGGUGAGGGGAAAUAGCAAAUUUACUUUAUUCCCAAUGAUCUGAUGUCCAUUUCCAUGGAAACAGAAAUGGAAGUAGGAACCAAACAUAAGCAGUCGCAGCCCUGGUUAAUUGCCCAUGGCUGCUUUCUGUUUCCACUUCUAUAGCGCUGAACUCUAUGCUCGCUGCUGACCCCGUUGCUAUCAAGCAGUGCGUGCGAGAGGGGUCUGCUGCGGGGAGCCCGGGCACGGCAAGGCAAAGAGGGGAAGGAAGGAUGCGAGAGGCAUCACGCAGGCUCUCCGGGCUGGCCAGUGAAGAAAUCUCCUUUAAGCUGCUUCUGCUUUGUUCUACCAUAUUAAAGAACAGGAAGGCUUUCAGAGCAGUAGAGCUUCCAAAACAGGAGAGUGACUUGAUUUCAAAGCAAAGAGCAGAGUUCAGUUUAAUCAGCCCUGUGAGCUACUGUCGUAUCAUGAAGUGGAUCACCCCUUCCCAGGAAGGAGGAGGAGAACUGUAGAAGAGACCCAUGAGAAUUAAAAGAUGGUAACUUUUCAAAAAGUGAAGUUAGUGGUUUUGAAAGGCACCAGAUUAGCAGCACAGGAAAUGGCCUCCUUUAUUUAAUCAUACCUAAGUGCUUUGAGAUAGAUUCUUAUUCCUUUUAUCUUGAUGAGUAGCACAUCCACACGAUGGGCACGGCAUCUGCUGGGGGCAGCUGUGCAGGAGAGAUAGGGGUCAAACCUCAGGUAGACCCAGGCAGACCCAGCAGCAGCAGGAAGCGGACGAGCGCAGUGUUGUUCCUUUGCCACAGUUUCCCCCAUCUACGCAUCUUGAGGUUGGUCUAGGAACUAAAAAGCAAAGGAAAAAAAGUGUUUUAAGUGGCAUGCAGUAGCACGCUUGCAGG